rnacentral:rRNA from 1 species
GACGAACGCUGGCGGCGUGCCUAAUACAUGCAAGUGGGACGCAAGGAAACACACUGUGCUUGCACACCGUGUUUUCUUGAGUCGCGAACGGGUGAGUAACGCGUAGGUAACCUGCCUAUUAGCGGGGGAUAACUAUUGGAAACGAUAGCUAAUACCGCAUAAUAUUAAUUAUUGCAUGAUAAUUGAUUGAAAGAUGCAAGCGCAUCACUAGUAGAUGGACCUGCGUUGUAUUAGCUAGUUGGUAAGGUAAGAGCUUACCAAGGCGACGAUACAUAGCCGACCUGAGAGGGUGAUCGGCCACACUGGGACUGAGACACGGCCCAGACUCCUACGGGAGGCAGCAGUAGGGAAUCUUCGGCAAUAGACGAAAGUCUGACCGAGCAACGCCGCGUGAGUGAAGAAGGUUUUCGGAUCGUAAAGCUCUGUUGUAAGUCAAGAACGUGUGUGAGAGUGGAAAGUUCACACAGUGACGGUAGCUUACCAGAAAGGGACGGCUAACUACGUG